ACUAUUUUGGCAGAUUAGUGCAUUAAAUUUAGAAUUUAUUUAUGUAAUUUUGAUUACAAAUAGUA
rnacentral:tRNA from 1 species